CUGACGGUAGUCGUAUGCUCGUCUCCGAGACUAAGCCAUGCAAGUCCAAGUACACGUCCUUGAACGACGGAAACUGCGAACGGCUCAUUAAAUCAGUUGCGAUCUACUCGGCGUUCCGCGCCGCCGGAUAACCGUAGUAAUUCUAGGGCUAAUACGUGCGAAGCGCCCGAAGCCGCGAGGCGACGGGGCGUUCUCGCCGGAUGUAGGAACCGACCCGGGGACCGCCGGGGCAACCCGGCGCCCCCGAGACGGGGCGAACCACGGUGAAAUGACGGAUCGUCGGCCCCGCGCCGGCGACUCGCCGAAUGAGUUUCUGACCUAUCAACUCGAGACGGCGGGGUAGAGGCCCGCCGCGGUAACGACGGGUAACGGGGAAUCAGGGUUCGAUUCCGGAGAGGGAGCCCGAGAAACGGCUACCACUUCCAAGGAAGGCAGCAGG
rnacentral:rRNA from 1 species